UGACCUAUGCCGGAGUUCAUGAAUGUUCCU
rnacentral:piRNA from 1 species